rnacentral:lncRNA from 1 species
AUCUGCAUUUUCACUGUGGCCUGUCGUGUGAGGUCAGGUGUGGAAUUUUCCACUUGUGGUAUGUUGGCGCUCAAAAAGUUUUGGAUUUUGGAGCAUUUCGGAUUUCAGAUUUUCAGGUUAGAGAUACUCAACCUAUACUACGUGUUGUGGCCGGAUGCUUUACAUUUACCAUUAGUAGUUCACGGGCUGGGCUCGGUGGCUCACGCCUGUAAUCCCAGCACUUUGGAAGGCCGCGGCAGGCGGAUCACCUGAGGUCAGGAGUUCGAGACCAGCCUGACCAAUAUGGUGAAACCCUGUCUCUACUAAAAAAUACAAAAAUUAGCCGGGCAUAGUGGCACACGCCUGUAAUCCCAGCUACUCUGGAGGCUGAGACAUGAGAAUCACUUGAACCCAGGAGGUGGAGGUUGCAGUGAGCCAAGAUCGCGCCACUGCACUCCAGCCUGGGUAACAGGGUGAGACCUUGUCUCAAAAAAUAAAUUAAAAAAAAAAAAAAAAAAAAGUUCACGGAACCUCAUGAUUAGAUGAGAUGGCUGUGGCAAGCUGGCUGCCCAGGAAGCGGACUCAGAGAGUAAGCCGUGCCCCUGCGUUCUACAAUGGUAGGGAGCGUUAGGAAGAACUGAAGAGCAGACAGACAUAGCGCCAGCAACCCGCCUCCACCCCAAGGGGAUUCAGGGGCUGGAGAUCCCUGCAGUUGCCUGGCAUUCCUGCAGUUGCCAAGGGGUGGGGCUGGGCUUUUGUUCCUCCCGUAUUAUUCAGUCAUUGGCUGUGGGCGCCCAGGAAGAAGCGUGACCUUGGGUGGGGCAGUCUUCUUCAGCCAAUCCUCAGAGAGGACUAACAGCCCUCCCAGCAGAGGGAGAUUAAGUCCUUCACUCCCGGGAGGUGUCUGGGAAGCACAUCCCAGUGUGUACCGCAGCAGCUAUGCAUGUGUCGUUUUACCCAUGAGAAAUCGGAAGUUCAGAAGGGACAGAGCCAGGAUGUGAGCCUAGAUCUAUUAACACCUGUGAAUCCUGUGCUGUUUUCCACCAUUCUUGCUGCCAAUUCGGCACAUUUUCAUGCCUCUCGACUUCUUACGGUGCCCGCCAUAUUCCCAGAACUUUGGAGAUGCCGAGAGCAUUUGAAACUGAACUUUGCUUGAUGAUCUAGGCCUCCAGUCUGCCAUUCGCCCUGCUCUCUUCCAGUCUGUGGAAGUGAUGGGAGAGAAGCAUGUCAGCAGGUGGGGUGCAUGGCUAGUCCAGCUGUGUUUCAUCAGUACAGUGCUGGCUACAGUCCUGUCCCUGGGAGUGAGACAGGAUAGGUAGUCAAGGAAGUGACCAUGUUCUUAGGAGGCAGCAACCAUGAUGACCACACAGUCAACACAAUAAGCCUCAGCAUUCUCAUUGUAACGGCUCAUCCAAGCAAAGCUAUCUUCAGCAGAGACUUUCCCCUCUAGAGAGCAUGUAUAUUUUGAUUUUACUUGUCCUCAGACUGACCCUUUGCUCAUUAUAAUAGUAAAAGACACACCCCUGGGUGGAGAUUUAAGAUGCCUAUGAGGCACACACUGCAUGAACAAACACGUAUGGCUACUGCACGUGUGCACCCAGAGGACCCCCCAGAACAUGCUUACUAGCAGCACCUCUUCCCACCUUCUUAUGAAUAAUCAUGUAAGACUCCCAGAAAGGGAGUCCCCUAGUGCCAGUCUUUGCCGUCUCAUCCUUACAUGCAGCCUGCCCUGAACUCUCUCAGGGUGUACUGUUGUAUUAGUCCAUUCUUACACUGCUAUGAAGAAAUACCGGAGACUUGGUAAUUUAUAAAGGAAAGAGGUUUAAUUGACUCUCAGUUCAGCAUGCCUGGGGAGGCCCCAGAAAACUUAUAAUCAUGAUGGAAGGUACCUCUUCACAGGACGGCAGGAGAGAGAAUAAGAGCCAGCAGAGAAAAUGCUAGAUGCUUAUAAAAACCAUUAGAUCUCGUGAGAAUUCACUAUCAUGAGAUCAGCAUGGGGGAAACCACCCCCAUGAUUUAAUUGCCUCCACCUGGUCCUGCCCUUGACACAUGGGGAUUAUGUGGAUAACAAUUCAAGGUGAGAUUUGGGUGGGGAUACAGCCAAAUUAUAUCAACUAUUCUGCACUUAGUUUUCAAAAUAUUAUUUUUCUUUUGCAGUAAAUUACUUUAUGCUACACCUCCUUUGCUGUGUCUCCUGUUUAAAUUGUUUUAAGCCAAGAAGACAAGAACCAAGGUAUCACAUCAGCCAUCAACGGGAGCUGCUGAUCUCUAGGCUUGCUCAGAAUUGUGAAGUUCUUGACUGAUCUCAUUAGUGGUCAUUUAGUUUUUGUGUAUAGGACAAGUAGGAGAUUAUUAACCUGGUAAAUUAAAAUAACACUUUGGGCUAAGAGUUAUUUAAAAAAAAAAAAAAAGAGUGGUGGCUCAUGCCUGUAAUCCCAGCACUUUGGAAGGCUGAGGUGGGAGGAUCACCUGAGGUCAGGAGUUCAAGAUCAGCCUGGUCAACAUGGCAAAACCCCGUCUCUAUUAAAAAUACAAAACUCAGCCAGGUGUGGUGGCACCGACCUGUAAUCCCAGAUACUUCAGAGGCUGGCGUGGGAGAAUCGCUUGAACCCAGGAGGCAGAGGUUACAGUAAGCUGAGAUCACGCCACUGUACUCCAGUGCGGGUGACAGAGUGAGACUCCAUCUCAAAAAACAAAAUAAAAACAAAAAAAUAACACUCUGAGCUGAAUGACUCUGGUAUAUUUUUUGUUUUUAUAGGAGUGGGGAGGGUGGGGUCAGUGGAGCUUGGCAACCAUUCCCUGAGCCUCUCAUAACGUGGCCAAUUACCAUGCAAAACCUCUCACAAAAGAAAUGUACCAGGCCUGGCUGGUUUCUCAAGUAAAUUUCUUAGAACUCCCCCAAAUGCUGGUUAAACCUAAUUUUUCACCUGCUCCUUGCCUACAUAAAUACAGGAGAAAAACAUACACCCAUGCAUGAACAGCAUGCCUGAAGUUGCAUGAAAAUAAAUUAUUCAGCUUCCCAUAGAUGUCUUCUGAAUGGAAGACUUCAAGAAAUUGGAACUCGUGAUGUGCAAAGGAGGGGAAACAUAAAAAGUAAGGAAACGAGGCAAGGCGUGGAGGCUCACACCUGUAUUCCAGCACUUUGGGAGGUCAAGGUGAGUGAAUCCCUUGAGCUCAGGAGU